rnacentral:misc_RNA from 1 species
ACUCACUAGCUUGUACAUCUUUGAAUGAUUUUGUGGAGUUCUACCGGUUACUGAAGAACGAGUAUGCUCUGCUACCGAUCGACCGGGGCUUUUAUAGUUCCGAGGAGCAGCCCGGAACGCCGCUCUGAAACACGGCAAUUAUGGCGAACCACGCCUCGUCCAUGUCCUUGAAAAAAACACGAAAAAAAAAAAGGAACAACACAACUACCUUACUGUCCACCUCCACCUCCGGCUCACCGCGAUCUCCUCUCUGCACGCACGAAUGGCCAACCGCACCUGAUAAAGGAAGAAAAUUAGCAGCCUCGGAAGAUCUGCGAAUUGCAUCUGAGGCAUGAGACUCGUCGGUGCAACCGUCAGUGGCGGUGAAAACUAUUCAUCAUGCAGUC